CAACCGAGAUUCCGCUAGUAGUGGCGAGCGAACGCGGAAGAGGCCAAACCGGAGGUAGCAAUAUUUCCGGGGUUAGGACUGCAAUAUGUAACUUUAAUCUUUAACUGAAUGCUUUGGGAAGAGCAGCGAUACAGGGUGAUAGCCCCGUAAGUGAAAAGGAUUGAGUGCUAGCAGUAUCCAGAGUACCAGCGGACACGUGAAACCCGCUGGGAAGAUGGGGGGACCAUCCUCCAAGCCUAAAUACUACUCAGUGACCGAUAGUGGAGCAGUACCGUGAGGGAAAGGUGAAAAGUACCCCGGGAGGGGAGUGAAAAAGAACCUGAAACCUUGUGCCUACAAGCACCGAGAGCACGUUAAAGUGUGAUCGGGUACUUUUUGUAGAACGGUCCGGCGAGUUAAUAUUUGCAGCGAGGUUAAGGAACUGGAGUUCCGGAGCCGCAGCGAGAGCGAGUCUGAAAAGGGCGUAUGAAGUUGCAGGUAUUAGACCCGAAACCGGGUGACCUAUCCAUGAGCAGGCUGAAGCGGUGGUAAGACACCGUGGAGGGCCGCACCCACGUCUGUUGAAAAAGCCGGGGAUGACUUGUGGAUAGCGGAGAAAUUCCAAUCGAACUCGGAGAUAGCUGGUUCUCCCCGAAAUAGCUUUAGGGCUAGCGUUAUUUUAGAUUACCGGAGGUAAAGCACUGAAUGGUCUAGGGGCCGCGAGGUUACCAAAGCCUAUCAAACUCUGAAUGCCGGAUAAUUGAUGAAUAGCAGUCAGACUGUGUGAGAUAAGUCUCAUAGUCAAAAGGGAAACAGCCCAGAUCUACAGCUAAGGUCCCAAAUGAACACUAAGUGGAAAAUGAUGUGAAACUGCGAAGACAACCAGGAUGUUGGCUUAGAAGCAGCCACUCAUUCAAAGAGUGCGUAAUAGCUCACUGGUCGAGUGGUUUUGCGCAGAAAAUGUAACGGGGCUAAGUGUUCAACCGAAGCUUAGGCAUUGCAGUAAUGCAUUGGGUAGGGGAGCGUCGUAUGCGGGGUGAAGUCAGAGCGGAAGCACUGGUGGACUGCAUACGAGUGAGAAUGCCGGAAUAAGUAGCGAGAAUUAUGUGAGAAUCAUAAUGGCCGAAAAUCUAAGGUUUCUUGGGGAAGGUUCGUCCGCCCAAGGUUAGUCGGGAGCUAAGCUCAGGCCGAAAGGCGUAGGCGAUGCACAUACGGUAGAAAUUCCGUAACCACCGAACAUUUAAGCUAGAGGGACGCUUUCUUUAAGGUUAUCCCGGGCGAUGGUUGCCCCGGGCGUAAGGGACCGAAAUAUAGUAGGGAAGUAGAUGGCGAGAGAGACGAGAAAAGCUCUAGUGUAUACUAAGGUGCCCGUACCGCAAACCGACACAGGUAGAUGGGAUGAGUAUUCUAAGGCCAACGGGAGAAGGGUUGUUAAGGAACUCGGCAAAUUGGCCCCGUAACUUCGGGAUAAGGGGCGCCUGCGAGAGCAGGCCGCAGUGAAAAGGCCCAAGCGACUGUUUAGCAAAAACACAGCUCUCUGCUAAAUCGAAAGAUGACGUAUAGGGGGUGACGCCUGCCCGGUGCUGGAAGGUUAAGGGGAGUGCUUAGCGCAAGCGAAGGUGCGAACUUAAGCCCCAGUAAACGGCGGCCGUAACUAUAACGGUCCUAAGGUAGCGAAAUUCCUUGUCAGGUAAGUUCUGACCCGCACGAAUGGCGUAACGAUUUGGGCACUGUCUCAACAGCCCGCCCGGCGAAAUUGUAGUACCGGUGAAGAUGCCGGUUUCCCGCAACUAGACGGAAAGACCCCAUGGAGCUUCACUGUAGCUUGAUAUUGGAUCUCGGUAUUCCAUGUACAGGAUAGGUGGGAGGCUAGGAAGCGAGCGCGCCAGCGUUCGUGGAGCCAACCUUGGGAUACCACUCUUGGGAUAUUGGGAUUCUAACCUGCGACCAUGAAUCUGGUCGGGGGACACUGUCAGGUGGGCAGUUUGACUGGGGCGGUCGCCUCCAAAAGAGUAACGGAGGCGCUCAAAGGUUCGUUCAGCACGGAUGGAAAUCGUGCACUGAGUGUAAACGCAUAAACGAGCCUAACUGCGAGAAUGACGGUUCGAGCAGUAACGAAAGUUGGAGUUAGUGAUCCGGCGGUAUGUGAAUGGAAAUGCCGUCGCUCA
rnacentral:rRNA from 1 species